rnacentral:rRNA from 1 species
UACGAAGGUCCCGAGCGUUAUCCGGAUUUAUUGGGUUUAAAGGGUGCGUAGGCGGGUUAUUAAGUCAGUGGUGAAAGCCUUCAGCUUAACUGAAGAACUGCCAUUGAUACUGAUGAUCUUGAGUAUGAUUGAGGUGGGCGGAAUGUGUCAUGUAGCGGUGAAAUGCUUAGAUAUGACACAGAACACCGAUUGCGAAGGCAGCUCACAAAAUUGUAACUGACGCUGAGGCACGACAGCGUGGGGAUCAAACAGG